rnacentral:rRNA from 1 species
AUGCUGCUCUCCCUCAUCUUGCCCUGCGCCAAUGACGUCCUUAGCUCCCGCGUCGACUCCAACCAAGACAGCCUCCUCCGCCUCGCCGCGUACUGGGCCGCCUUACUUCUCUUCAAGCUCCUCUACUUUGGUCUCUGCUACGUGUUCACGCUCUUCUGCACCUGCGCCUACGUGUUCCUAGUCGCUUCUCUCUAUUGCACCGGCGGCGAUUUCGCCGCCGCCAAUCACGGCCGCCACGCCCUCCCAGUCGACCCGUCCAGGCGGCUUAAUCGCACCUUCUUCUUCCUCGCAAUCCCUCUACUGAUCACAUUCUACGCCGGCGCCCAAGCCUGGAUCGCGCUCCAGCAGCUGGACGCUCCGGGCGUGGUCACCCUGCCGCUGCAGCUCAUGGGCGGGGCCGCGUGCCUUGCCGGCGCCGCGUACGCCGCCGUCGUCUGCCAGCUGGCCUGCGUGGUCUCCCUCCUCGAGGACGCCUGGCUUCUCACCGCCAUACGCAGGAGCCGCGCGCUCCUCGCCGGCAAGUUCUGGCCGGCGGCGGCCAUCUUCCUCACGCUCGACGCCUGCAUCGUGGCUCUGCUAAUGGCCUACACGGUUCUGGUGGUGGCGGUGCGCGACGCGCUGGGGCUGCGUCUCGCUUUCCUGCUGGCUGCGGGAGUUGGGAUGACAGUCGCUCUGUGGGCGGUGCUCGUCGUCACGCUGGUGGCGCAGCCGGUGGUGUACCUCGUCUGCAAGAACCACCACCACGAGGUCGUUGACAACGUCCACCUCAACUACGUCGGAGAGUACGAGCGGCUCGCCGUCGACGGCGACAAUGGCGUGGAGCUGCAGCCGGCGCCGCAGGUCACUACAACUGCCUAG